GCGGGGAUAGCUCAGCUGGGAGAGCGUCAGACUGAAGUACAACUUCACCAGCUAAUCUGAAGGCCGUGCGUUCGAUCCGCACUCACCGCA